UACGUAGGGGGCAAGCGUUGUCCGGAUUUAUUGGGCGUAAAGAGCGUGUAGGCGGCCAAACAGGUCAGCUGUGAAAACUCGAGGCUCAACCUCGAGACGUCGGUUGAAACCGUUUGGCUAGAGUCCGGAAGAGGAGAGUGGAAUUCCCGGUGUAGCGGCGAAAUGCGCAGAUAUCGGGAAGAACACCCGUGGCGAAGGCGGCUCUCUGGGACGGUACUGACGCUGAGACGCGAAAGCGUGGGGAGCGAACAGG
rnacentral:rRNA from 1 species